rnacentral:rRNA from 1 species
UACGUAGGUGGCAAGCGUUAUCCGGAUUUACUGGGUGUAAAGGGCGCGUAGGCGGGAAUGCAAGUCAGAUGUGAAAUCUAUGGGCUUAACCCAUAAACUGCAUUUGAAACUGUAUUUCUUGAGUGAUGGAGAGGCAAGUGGAAUUCCUAGUGUAGCGGUGAAAUGCGUAGAUAUUAGGAGGAACACCAGUGGCGAAGGCGACUUGCUGGACAUUUACUGACGCUGAUGCGCGAAAGCGUGGGGAGCAAAC